rnacentral:lncRNA from 1 species
AUGCGCAUGGGCCACCGCUGCCCACCCUCACCUGCGUCCCCUCCUCCACCUGGGGCACGUCCUUCCCGCACACGGCGCGCUGCGACGGGCACGUCUCGGCGGCGAGCGGCGGGCACCACGGCACAGCCCACCUGCGACGGCGUCCGCCCCGUCACCGCCCGGCGCCUCUCCCCCCGAGGCCGGGCGGACGCCGGCUCUCCGUGCGUCCGAGGAGGAGGCCCCCCCAUCCCAAAGCUUACUUGGGGGUCUUGCUGGAUGYGGAGGCCCCGGCGGGGGCCGUCGCGGCGCGGGCGCACGAGGACGCCUCCCUGCCCUGCGCCGAGACGCGCYGCUGCUGCCCGCCGGCCGCGGGGCCGCGGGGUUUCGGCAGCGUGCUGGGCUCCAUCCCGUGCUCAGCUCACGCCUCCGGCCACGGCUCGACCCUGCUGGGGACGGGGGCACCCGCGUGGCACCCCGGGGCCUCGCGCCGUGGCCGGCAAGGGUGCGCCGYGGUGCUGUGCGGCGCGCUGCCCCGUGCGUCGUGACCCCUCGCGCCGCCAGCCAGCUGCAAAGCCCCGGCGAUGGGGACCCCGAUCCCUCCGCAGACCCUCCAGCAGGACGGACGGGGACCCUGAAGUCAGCAAGCGUCCCGCGAGCCCAGGCUCAGGCUGUGUGGGCGCACACACGUGCUGCUCCGAGACCUGCCCGCCCCCUGCCUCAGUUUCCCCAUCUGAAACAGCAGCAGCGCUGGCCCCGUCUCCCCUUCCGUCACCCUCAGGCUGCCGACCCGCAGCACCGCUGUGCCGGGCUGUGACCCCAUGGGUGGGGGACCGUGUCCCCUGCCGUGGGCCCUUGGGCACCAGCCAGGGCUGCCUUUGCACCGGGCACGUGGCCAUCUUACCCUGCGGGUGCCGGCGCCGGCUGCCUCGGGUGCUCGUCCUGCCCCGUGCUGGUCCCUGGUGGCGCGGGCAGCCCCGGAGCCUGCUGCCCGGUGUCCCCGCUCCGCCUGAUGCCACCGUUCUGCCCGGUGUCACCGCUUUUCCUGAUGUCACAGAGCACCCAAGGGUGCUGACGGAGGCUUGGUGGCCGCGGGGCAUUCCCUGGUGCUUGGGGACAGUGCUGGGUGCCGACCUGCCCCAAGCUCCAUGCUCUGGCCGGGUCCCCCAGGGUCUCUAA